rnacentral:rRNA from 1 species
CGCGGCCUAUCAGCUUGUUGGUGGGGUAACGGCCUACCAAGGCUAUGACGGGUAGCUGACGCGAGAGCGUGAGCAGCCACACUGGGACUGAGACACGGCCCAGACUCCUACGGGAGGCAGCAGUGGGGAAUAUUGCACAAUGGGCGCAAGCCUGAUGCAGCAACGCCGCGUGCGGGAUGAGGGCCCUAGGGUUGUAAACCGCUUUCAGCAGGGAAGAAAAUGACGGUACCUGCAGAAGAAGGUGCGGCCAACUACGUGCCAGCAGCCGCGGUGACACGUAGGCACCAAGCGUUGUCCGGAUUUAUUGGGCGUAAAGAGCUCGUAGGCGGUUCAGUAAGUCGGGUGUGAAAACUCUGGGCUCAACCCAGAGACGCCACCCGAUACUGCUGUGACUUGAGUACGGUAGGGGAGCGGGGAAUUCCUGGUGUAGCGGUGAAAUGCGCAGAUAUCAGGAGGAACACCAGUGGCGAAGGCGCCGCUCUGGGCCGUAACUGACGCUGAGGAGCGAAAGCGUGGGUAGCAAACAGGAUUAGAUACCCUGGUAGUCCACGCCGUAAACGUUGGGCACUAGGUGUGGGUCUCAACCAACGAGAUCCGCGCCGUCGCUAACGCAUUAAGUGCCCCGCCUGGGGAGUACGG